rnacentral:lncRNA from 1 species
CUUGCCUUAAAAGUGCCAUCGUCCCAAAUCAAAGAAAAAGAAACCAAGUCCGCAUUAAUGCUUCCUUCAAUCUUAAGGGUAAAAGACAGCCUCUCACCCAAUGACGAGAAGGCCAAAACACUUGGCAGUACUUGGACAUUUAAAGAAGAUGGAUGUGCAGUUAUUAUGGCCUUAUAUGUGGAUGUAGCUGAUCCAACAUUUGUGACAGUUCUACCGAAAGUGACAUUGUUGUCGCUUGAGCGAGGGGUUGAUAGAGCAAAAGAUGGGAGAUUAAGGUUGAAAACAGACCCUGUAUUUUCUGAUGUGCAUGUGCUGUUAUCUCCUGUAAUUCUUCGCAGCGCUCUAGAACCAUAACCUUCUGCACACAGAAAACUAAUAUAAUCAUAUUCACCAGCAUCAUAAACUAGUCCAGGAUUUACUGCCUUCAAAGGAUUGAGUUGCCCCGCACCGUAAGCAAAUUCAGCAUCUACAUCAAGUGCAGGAUUCAUAGGAGUAGCUGCAAAUAAUGAACGAACAAAUUUGGUCCUUAACACGUAUACUUGGCCAUUAAGUUGUACCACAAAACAACUGAAGUUAAUAUAGUUUUUCUCCAACAGAAAAUGUACUUUAAACUGCUUUGUGCAUAAGGUUUUAGGUUAUCAUAUCUUCUCUUUAUGUUUAUACAUUUAAAAUUAAUUAAUUCUUUCACACCCUCAAUUUUUCCUACAUUUUUCAAGGGUUAUAAAAGGUUGAUAACUACAUUAUAUUAUAUAAAUACCAGUUGUCAUCAACGUGGAUUUUAUAGCAGCAGGAGACCAGUUGGGAUGAAAUGAUUUGACGUAAGCAGCUGCUGCAGAAACAUGAGGGCAUGCCAUUGACGUUCCAGAUGCUAUUUUGAAAUUUGUUACUCUUGUCUCUCCUUUAACACCAGAAAUAGGAGAAAUCGGAGACCAUGCAGCCAGAAUGUCAACUCCUGGAGCAGCUAUAUCAGGCUACAACAUCAGCAGAAAACUUAGAUAUGAGCAAAUAAGAUUGAAUCGGUUGAAAUGAAUUUACUGUAACAUGAAGUUAUACCUUAAGAAUAUUUGGAGUGACCUUAUUUGGACCUCUUGAUGAGAAAGGAGCAAUGUAAGGGGCUGAUGAAUCUUUUCCUUCGUGAGUCUUGAAUAUGGUAGCUGCUGGAUUACUACAAUAAUCGAUGACAUGACAUAAAUCAGAUAAUUAAGACUAAUUGAACAAAAUUAUACAUCACCAAUGUAUGAUCUUUUAUAGAUUGAAGAAAAGUUUUAUACCUUGUUGACUUUAAAUAAGAAAAUACGGAUUUCCCAUCACUUGCGGUAAUGCUAAUAGCUGGCAAAGCAAAUACUUCUGCCACAAAUUGAUCAGUGAAUAUAAGACCAGCAGCCCCAGAAGCAAAUCCCACAUAUGGAGAAGAAGAAAAGCCAUCACACAAAACAAUUUUCCCUCUCACCAUAGCUCCAUCCAAAGAAUUUUCAUCGCAAAACCUAAACAACGCUAAUGUUAGUAUGGACUUUUGAAUAGUAAUGGAGGGAAAGAUUAGUAACAAACUACCCAAAUAAUAAGGUUAAAUUACUUUUUUUAAUUCCUUCAAUUAACAAAAAUCAAAUAUUGUCUUCUCCAUCUAAAUAAUUUUCUAUACUUUGUGAUUAUCUAAAGUGUGCUAGAUGCAAUUUAAACACUACAAUAAUUUAAUAUUUUUUAUUUUAUUAAAAAUAUUAUUUAUGUUUUGAAAUUAAUUGCAUCUAGUGAGGUUCAGAAACUAUCAAUUAAAUAACUAAGAUUAAUAAAACUUAAUUUACUAAGUUUUUUUAUUAAAGUUUUAUAAUUUUAUUAUAUUUAAAAAUUGAAACGUUUUUUUAUUUAAAAAAAAACUAAGUAGUAUUUAAUAUAGUGGCCGUUUUAAAGUGUCAUUAUUUGUAAUUUUCUUUAAAGAUAAAUUAUAAUAUUAUUGUAGUGAUAAAAUUUGAAUAUACCCUUUAAAAUAAAUGAAGUAUAUUAAAUUUUAUAAAUAAAGAAAGAAAAUAAAAAAUAAAUUUAAUCUGAUAAUUAAGAUGAGAUAUUGGAAAAUGUUGGUACCUGGAUGUGGAACUACUAAAUCCAGCAGCUGGUGCAUCUCCCCCAUAAAUUAAAGGGUAACUCUUCUGUGCUGGACUAAAUGUAUUCACUGAAAUUCCCUGCAUAUGUUGAGGGAAAUCUUUUGUCACUUUUUAAAUAUUUUAAAAAAUAAGUGAAAGAAUUUAAAGGGAUAAAUACCUGGAAGAUUCGGCCAUCGCCAAGUUGGAGAUUGGUUAAAAACUUUCUGUCUAUGGUGGAAGCAGCCACGGAAGUGAUCCACGGUGCAAGAUUUGGCAUUGUGUAAAGGUUUGGACCCGAAUUGCCUGCAGCUUGAGAAGUUAAUAUGCCUCUCUUCAUUGCAUGGAAGGCUCCUACUGCAAAUACAUCUUUAAAAUAUUCCACGUGUAUGACUUCUCCAUAUCCCACUGAAAGAGAUAUAAUGUCAACACCAUCCAUAAUGGCUGCAUCAAAUCCUGCAAGAAUGUCAGCAGCUUCACAACCAUUUGUCCAACAAACUUUAUACACAGCAAUGCGUGCUGAUGGAACUCCUCCUCUUGCUGUUCCUAAACCAAGCCCUAAUAAAUUUGCAUUGCUAACAUGGUUUCCAGCAGCAGUUGAUGCACAGUGAGAGCCGUGACCAAUCGUAUCAGUUGGAGAUAUCAUGUCCUCUUGGGCGAACUCACCACCAAGACGAAAAUAUUUUGCUCCAAUUAUUUUGCUAUAAACAGAUCAUGAAACAAGCAUUCAUAGAUAAAUAAAUCAAUCUCUAGUUUUAUCUUUUAAUAAUUAUUAUUUUGAAAAAUGUGUUAGUUUAAUUUAGGUAUAAGUGUUUGGUUUGUAUCACUUCGAUUUACUGUUGAGGUGGGCGAAAUGAAGCUGGGAAUAACUAACUUGAGCACCGUUCGUUCAAAUUUGACAUGAGAAAACUAAAGUAUGAGUUUAAAAAAUGAAACCAGACAUGAAAAACAAAACUAAUAUGUGUUGUAGUAUGUUAUAACAAACAUCACUUACUUAUUGCAAGUGAAGUUAAGGCAUGUUCCUUUCCAUUUCUGUGGUGGUGGACCAAAGCCUUCGUCGGAGAAGCUUGAGGAAUUUGGCCAAAUUCCAGUAUCCAGUACUCCCACGAUUGUGUUACUUUCUUCCUUUGUUCUUUCAACAUUUUCAGGGAAGCCAAGAAAGCCCCAGGAACUUGAUGUUUGGAUACUGUGAACUCUAUUUGGAAUAACGGAAACCACAUCAUCCAAUCCUGCCAAACAUUCCAAAUUUUCAGAAAAUGCAUACAUCAUAAUAUAUAUAUAUAUAUAUAUAUAUAUAUAUAUAUAUAUAUAUAUAUAUAUAUAUAUAUAUAUAUAUAUAAUCAUAUUAAACUUACCUUUCAUUCUUUCUGAUUCUUCUUUGGUUAGCCUCACUACAAAUCCAUUGAAACUCCUGUAGCUGUGUACCAAGGUAUCUGGGGCAAGUUUUCUGGAUGGAUGUAUGCCAUUUCCAAUUUUAAUAAUGUAAUUUUAAUUAUGAGUUAUAAGAUAGCUUAACCGUAAAGUUGAAAAUAAAAACUAAUGAAAUUAUAGAUUUAGCUCUCUACUAAUAAUUGAAAGUUGUAAAAUUAAUAAGAAAAGUUUAGUAAAAAAAAAAUAAAAGAAAUUGUAAAUUUAACUAUCCCGUUAAAAAAUAUUAAUAAUUAAUAAUUAUCUAUAAAAGAAUUAUUUUAGUUAAAACACUCGUAUUCUUAGAUGUAAUAGGUUUAAAGUAAAGUAAUUUCUCUUCUUUUAGACCAUUCUAUUUCAUUCAUUUUUCGUUUAAGUCCUUCAGAAUAAGUCACAAGAUUACUUGAAUUUGUAAAUGUUACGCAGACAAACAAAGAACUAUUAUUAAAUAAAGGAAAAUGAUAUUUUAACACCAUUUUUUGACACUGCACACGUGUCAAAAUGUGAUUGGACGAUUUCAAAUUAAAAAAACAAAUUUUGAUUUUUCUCUUCCAAAUAUACCCCUGUCUCAACUUUUUUAAUUUGAAAUCGUCCAAUCACAUUUUGACAUGUGUGCAGUGUCAAAAUGGUGUUAAAAUAUCAUUUUCCUUAAAUAAACAAUGUUAAACUAAGGCCCUUAAUAGUGUAAAUCUGCUCUCUAAGUUGAAGUAGAAUCAAUCAAAGCCAAAUGAAUUUAAAAUAUGUCUAGUUUUAUACAUUUCUGUUUUUAGAUUGUAAGACGAGUAUGUUAGUUUGUUAGACAGUUGUUGCUUAAACUGUAUUUGGCAAUUGUAUUUUUUCUAGUAUAAAAGUACCCAACUCCUAUACAUAUUGAGAUUAGAGUGUAAGUGAGUUAGAAAAUAAUACACAGAUUAUCAGAGUUUUUUUCUUCUUCUGUUCUCUCUCUCUUUCUUCAUUGUUGUUCGGUGCACAACACUCGGUUCAAAGGCAUUGUGGUUCGAUGCAGAAGGUGUUGGUUACAAAAAUCGUUGUCGCAAUUCUAAUAGUGGUAUCCAGAGCUUCAGGUUCGAGACUUGGGAGCUUCAAAAAUCAUCAAGGGCUUGGUGGAGGCUUGGCAGAAGGUGAUUGAAGCAAGAAGAAAAUCAAGAUUAUGUUUCUUGGUGAAAGAUUGAGGGUGUAAAGAAUGGCUAGCAGUGAUAUGUCCACUAAUCUACCUGUUCUCAUAGACAAAAAUUGGAGUAGGUGAAGCACACACAUGCGAGUCUUGUUUCACAUUCAAGGCAUCAGUAGUGUGGUGGAGGGAGUGGAUUCUGUGUCUGAUCUCUGUGGCAUAGAGAAAGAGGAGUUUAAGAGGAAAUAUGAUACAACUUUGUUGAUUAUCCAUCAAUGCAUGGAUGAUAUGCAUUUUGAGAAGAUACAAAAUGCGGCUACAACAAGAGAAGCAUGGAACAUCUUGGUGUGCUGCCAUGCCGGAGGGGAAAAAGUUAAGAAGGUAAAGCUUCAGGCAUUUAGGAGACAAUAUGAGCACUUGCUGAUGGAGGAUGAUGAUAAGGUGAGUGAGUUUUUCAACAAAAUAAUGUCAAUUGCUAACCAGAUGAAAGGUUGCGGUGAAACGAUUACUGAUCUCAUGGUAAUUGAGAAAAUUAUGCGGUCACUACCUCCGAUGUUUGAUCAUAUUGUGGUAGCAAUUGAGGAGUCUAAAGAUCUUGAAAAACUAAAGAUAGAAGAACUUCAAAGCUCUAUGGAGGCAUAUGAGAUGAAGAUGCGGGAAAGAAAUCCUAUCAAACUCGAUGAGUAGGCAUUAAAGGUUCAGCAUGUCAAAAAUGAAGAGAAGAAGACAUUCAAAAAAUGGAAAGGGAAACAUGGUAAAGGGAAGUGGAGAAAUGAUAGGAACAAAGAUGACCAAAAUGAGUCUUCAACAGAGAAGGAAGGCAAACUGGAUAAGAACUUCUGCAAGAAGGACAAGAGAUAUAUUUAAUGUUUUAAUUGUCAUAGGUAUGGGCACUACGCUAAUGAGUGCUAUGCUGAAAAGGAAGAGUAGAAGAAGGGUCAAGGAAAGGAGGCCUACAUAGCUCAAGAAGAGUCUGAUUCAGAACCCCUCAUAUUGAUGACAACUACAUCUACAGUAAGCUCAUGCUCUCAAGAUAAACUGUGGUAUUUUGAUUCGGGAUGUUCGAAUCAUAUGACUUGCCACAGAGAAUGGUUGGUAAAUUUUGAUGAAACCAAGGAGAGUAUGGUGAAAUUUGCUUAUGACAACACUUCAAAGGUAGAGGGAAUUGGUGAUGUUGUUAUCAGAAGAAAGAAUGGCUCUUGUGCCAUUCUAACUAGUGUGUUGUUUAUGCCUACAAUAAGGUACAAUCUUCUGAGUAUUGGCCAGUUAAUUCAAAAGGGAUUUACAAUAAUAAAGGGAGGCUUCAAUAAGGUUGAGGUGUUUGAUAAAAGCAAAAACCUGAUCUUGAGGAGCAAGAUCUCGAAGAAUAAAACAUUUCAUAUCAACAUAGUGAAGUCUACAAUGUGUGAAAAAUUUGGAUCUGGUGUUACAAAAUGUGAGAUGAAUACUGAUACACAGAUUGAUGAUGAGGAAGGUCUGGUGCAUGUAGCUAUGUCUGCAAGUGCAGAAUCGAUCGGUCAAACUGAAGCCUUGAAGAAAUCUGUGUGGAAGGAUGCAAUGAGAGAAGAAGUUGAUUUUGUUAGGAAGAAUGGAAUCUGGAAGCUAGUUGACAUUCCACCUGGGAAGAAGAAAAGCAUUGAAGGUAAUGCUGUCAAAGAAGAAUGGGGAGUUGCAGGUGAACCGAGACAUGGCAAACACCAAAACACUUGACCACAACAUUCAUUCAACCGAGUUGGACGUCGCUUAGGAGCGUCAAACUGGCAACCGCACUCACACCGUUCGGUCACGUCACUCAGUCGCUCUUUCACAUCGUUUGAUCUUGGUCGCACAGCUCGUGCAAAUUGGCAUCCGCCUUCGCCACGUGAUUGGCAGGAGCAGUUGCUCAACGGACUGGCAAGUGCAAGUUCUAUGAGUCACUGAUCACACCAUUCGGUCACACACCGUUUGGUCUCAUUGCAGUGCACAAGGUAGGCUAGUGAGGAUGGGUGCUACCUCCCUAAGUGCUCGACUUAGAGGGGUGUGUUAGAUUGUAAGCUGAGUAUGUUAGUUUGUUAGACAGUUGUUGGUUAAAGUGUAUUUGGCAGUUGUAUUUUUUCUAGUAUAAAAGUAUCCAACUCGUGUACAUAUUGAUAUUAGAGUGUAAGUGAGUUAGAAAAUAAUAAACAGAUUAUCAGAGUUUUUUUCUUCCUUUGUUCUCUCUCUCUUCAUUGUUGUUCGGUGCACAACACUCGGUUCAAAGGCAUUGCCAUUCGGUGGAGAAGCAUUGCCAUUUGGUGCAGAAGCAUUGUCAUUCGGUGCAGAAGGUUCUGGUUAAACAAAUUGUUGUCGUCGUUCUAAUAUCUAUAACUAAUUAUAAUUUGUUUAGUAAUUACCUUUAAUUAUUAGAAAAUUGUUGUAUAUCCGGGUACACGUUCAUAUAUAUUGAAAUGAUUAUAUAUGUACGCAAAAAUAAUCGAGUGUUAUCUCCCAAACAAAGCAACAAUUAUAUAAAAGCUAACAUUUGAAAUAUAAUAAGAAACGAAUAAAGGAAGCCAUUUUUUAUGAAUGUUGUAAUGAAAAUUGGGAGCUAGAAUUGUGUAAUAAUAUAUGACCUGCUGAUGACACUUUGAACGAUAUUAGUAUGAAGUGAUUCUGUGAGUUCCAUGCCCUUUGGAUAUUCGCCCAUGUAGACUAUGUAAAUCUGUAUUAGAUUAGAAUAUGAACAAGAUAAGUUAAAAAAUAAUGAUGAAUUUAAAAUAAUAGUCCUACUACAACUUAAUUUCAUGUGGAUGCAUAAACAUUGAGAAUACUAUGUUCAACCUUGGAUAAAAUCAUUUUUAUGUUAAUUUGUUUAUUUUAAAAAUAAUCCAAGCUCUUCUUAACUUGAAAGGUUUCCAAUAUUUUUUUAUAAAGAAAAAUGUAUCAUUAGAAUUGUUAAAAACAAAUCAUAAAAAGAUAUAACUGAAGUAUAUGUUUGGAAAAUUAUAUGGGAUAUAUAUGUUAUUUACCUUUCGAUCAUCUUUAGAAAAUGAGGGAGUGAGUAACAGAAUGCAUGUAAGAAUUUGGAGAAGACGCGACAACCCUAAAGAGUUCAUCUUUCUGUGACAGUAUAAUCUUCACAAAAUGAUGAAUGUGUUUUGAAGCUCUUUCAACCUGUCAGCAAAUUUAAUUUGGAAUUGGAAAUUGUGAAUAGAAGCCUAGUCAUGUACAUAAAUAAUUGGCAACGAAAACAGUAACAAUGAUCUUACAAAAAGUUAAGAUGAAAAAAUACAGACAUAUACAUUAAUAAGAAGAACAUCAUAUUAAUCUGCACAACAAAGUAAUUUUAAUAUACAUUAAUAAUACAUAAUAAAGUGGAUAAGCAAAAUGGAAUGUACUAAAGACUUGGUUUUCUCAUUUUUAAUUUUUAGAUUAUUGAAUCUUUUUUUAUCAAUUGUUGUUGUUGAAAUUGAAUUAGAUCGGGUGGUGAAUGUCUCCCAUCUUUCAUUUUCUUGAAAGUUUGUUCUUCGGCGCAUUUUAUUCCUAACAUUUUAAAAUAUUGUAAAGUUUGUCCUUUAAUUAUGUAUAUGUAAAUAUCAAAAGACAUUAACCUUUCACUACGGUUUUAAGUUAUUACUAUAAAUGCACAUAUUUAAAAUUAUUUUUAACACAAUCACCAUUUUAUUAUUUUCUUUAUUUCCUCUUUUUGUAAUUAUCUUCUCCUUCCUCCCCACAACACCUUUUACCUUUUGAAAAUCGUCUCUCUCUCUCUCUCUCUUCAUAUUGCUAUUAUUAAAGUUGGAGGAUGAAUCCAAGUUGUUACUGUUUACUAAGAAAAGUGUGUCAUUGCUAUGAAGAGAUUUUCUUUUAUACUGGAUGUGAAGAAAGAGAAGUUGUCUAGGAAGCCAAAAUAAUAGAGUUUCCCUCAUUUUUCUGUGUUACUGUGCGUGAGACAUAGAGAGUCAUUUAUAUAAUUUUUUUUUUUGUAGAAAUAUAUGUCUCAUUUAAAUUUUAUAUUGGGUAAAAUAAAGAUAAACAAAAUUAAGUAUCAUAUUAAAAAGUGUUUAUAAAUUUAUUAUUUUAAAGUUUUAGAUGGGAGGUGAAAUUAAUUUCUUUUAUAAAUUAAGAAUUGAACUAAAAUAAAAUAAUUAUAAAUGAAAGCAAAACAUGGUAGUAUUGCAUGAUUAAUUCAAAAGUUGAAAAUUCAAUGUUUCUUUUAAGACAAUAAUGUAAAAGAUAUAAAUUGGAAAUAGAGAGAGAACCUUCUUACACUACUUAUGUAUGAAAGAAUGGAAAUAGAGCAUUCUUAAAUUCCCAACAAGAGGUUUCAAAGAUACCCUUAUCAUUUUGUUAUCUAUUGACAAAUCUACGCUAAUUUCCAAAUUACAACAAAUGAGUUUUUAAUGAGGUAUCUUGAAUUUCAACAACCUUGUUAUACAAGCUUAUGUAUGAAAGAAUGGAAAAAGAGCAUUGUUAUAAAUAUACAACCCAAAGAAAGAAGCAAUAGAAAAUUAUUGGGAGAAAAAAAAAAAAGAUUAGAAAUGAAUAAGGUAUUAGAAAUAGGAAUAGAGAAGGGACAUACCACACAUUUUGAUAUAUCUUGAGUGAGAAAUGAUGUGAAUACACAGAACACUCUUUCUCACCUUUUAUAGCCACUACAUUGGAUGCAGUACUAUUUUUAUUUUUUUUUAUCUUUCUUCAAUUAAAUUCCUUAAAAUUUUAUUCUAUUUUACUUUUUCAUUCUUAUUCGAAAUAAAUUUUUCAAAAGUUUUAUUCGUUUUAUUGAGCCUAAAUAUAUGUGGCAAGACCCCUUUCAAACUUUCACAUCAAAAUCUACUACAAAAUAAAUAAUUAAUAAUUAAGUCUUUAUAUUAAAGUUUAUAAUUUUUUAUUUUUAUAGUUUUUUAUUCAAUUAAGUUUCUAUUUUUUUAACUGAAACAAUGCGGUUUAGGGAUGGCAACGGGUCGGGUCGGAUAUGGAUAGUGCCUACCCGCAACCCGACCCGUCGGAUAAAAACGUAUUCGCCACCCGACCCGCCACCCGCCGGGUAUCCGUUUAAGAAAUACCUGCGGGUAUUUAAAAACCAGCGGGUACCGUUAGAUACCCGUUUUAAACCCGCGAAUAUUUAAAAAAAAUAAUAUUUUAUAAGUUUUUAAAUGAAAUAAUCCAAAUUAAAUUGAAAAAAAAAAUUGAAAUGUUUUAGAUUUUAAGUUAAAGGUACUUAUGCAAAGGAAACUAAGGACAUAAAUAUAAUUUUAACUUCUAAGCGGGUAACGGGUAUCCGCGGGUACGGAUAGUGCAAAAUCCGAACCCGACUCGAUAAGAAGCGGGUAUUAAAAAAUCCGCUACCCGCUACCUGCGGGUACCUAUUAUCCGCGAGUACCAACUAUCCACAACGGGUUUAAUCCGCGGAUAUCCGCGGGCACGAGUUUUUUUGUCAUCCCUUCUGUUCAUUAUGCUAAAUGAACCGUACCCAUGUUAUAACGAUCAUGUAUUAAUUUAAUCCAUCUUUUACUUUUUCUAAAUUCUAAGGAUACACUUUCAUCACCUUUCUCCUUCACGCCACCUCCCAACAAACUCCAAAAGUUUAAUUAUAAUUAUAAUAACUUUGCUUUGGUAGGUUUAUUGUAAAAGAAGUAUUGGUCGUUUUCGAAAUAUGUACAUAAUAUAAAAUAUUAAUGUUAAAUUAGUUAUCUCCAUAAAUAAAUAUAAUUUAUGUAGUCAAUUAACAUUAAGAAUUAUUAUAUAAAUAUUAAUAUUGUAAUCUCACUAAAUUUAUAAUAAUUUAUCAUAAUAAUUACUUUGUCGGAGAUAGCUUUAUAAAUUUAUAAAUACUUUAUGUUUUGGAUAAUAAAAUUCGUUUUCUUAUACAAUAUUAUAAUUUAUAUCAUUAGAGUUUAUAAAAAUAAGGUUUGAGACGGAAUAACACAUUAAAGAAUUCUCGUGAUAAUGGAAGGUAGUCUUUAUUUCUUUUUCUAUAUCAGAUUAUAUUUGAUAUCAUAGCAUAGCAAAGUUAAAUAGCUUUAUCUUGUUUUGAAUCUAUUGUCAUUAUCCUUAUGGAUUCUAUAUUUGUUCUUUUUUUUUUUUUUUGGAUCUAACAUUGUAGGUAUUAGGGUCACCUUUUGUGAGGUACACUACAAGAAAAAAACGUUGUUACGUAUGAUCAAAAUUUGUAAAUAAAAGUCAAAAUAAUAGAUAAAGUAAUGUUACUUAUGAAUUAUUUAUAGACAAAAAUUCGUAGGACAAAAAUCAAUUUUUUUUCUAUUAACACAUUCAAUUUUAACUCCUAAAACACCCUUACCUUUACAUUUACAUUCACAUCUACUUUUAAGAAUAGAUAAAAUAAUUAAUGUUACUUAUAGAUUAUCUACGGAUAAAAAUUCGUAGGACAAAAAUCAAAUUCUUUUUUAAAAAUACUUUCAAUAUUAAGUCCUAGAACAUCCUUACCUUUACAUUUACCUUCACGUCUACUCUUAAGAACUCUUACUAAUUCACAACUUGGUGUAUAACUUUAGCAAAAUCCAUUGACUUCUUCUAUAAUGUAUUGCUUUAUAAUUGAAGCUUCAGGUCAAUACUAUUUUUGACAUACUCUUUUAAGAUCUUCAUGUAUCUUUCAUCUAGAUACAUCCAUCUCAAGAAAAUUGGUCCACAUAUUCUAAUUUCUCUCGCUAGAUGAACUAUCAAAUCAAUCAUGAUAUCAAAAAAUAAGAGUGAAAAAUACAUUUCCAAUUGUUACAAUAGUCUACUGACCUCAUUUUCUAAAUCAUCUAAUACUCAAGGUUCAACAACUUUCUUACAAAAAGCAUUAAACAUACUCAAACAUGUAAACAUACAUAUAACAAAAACAAGUAAUGAGGCUUAAGUAUCUACUAGUAAAAGUGAUUGCAUCAAAACAUAACAAUUGUAAGACUUUAAAGUAACUAAUUUUAAAUUUUGCAUAGAAACAAAAUUACUAAUAUUUGAAUAGUGUAACCUUAUGUCAACUUUGGAGUCUCCAACACCAAGCACUCUUUUAUUUCAAGAGAGUUGCAACUCUCUCAAGUGAACCUAUUUAGCCACACUUCACACCAUUUAUUCGAGUUUGAGGUAUUUAAAUAUUUUAUAUUCAUAAAAAAAAUUAUGGUAUAUUUUAGGGAAUUGAGGAGUGAAUUAAAUUGAGGAAAUGAACAAAUUAGUAUGGUGCAAUUUAAAAAAAUAUAUAUUAAAACAAAUAAAAUUGAAAGAGAUAGUUGGAUAAAAGACAUAAUUAAUAUAUCAAAAGAAAUCCCAUUCAGAUAGAAGAUAAAAGAGAACAUGAUUAAUAUGCAAAACAUGGAGAAAAAGAACAUAUUUGAAAGAAAAAAACCAAAUUUUUCUUUUUUCCUAUAUCAAAACUUGUUACGUAACUUAUCUAUACUAUAUAAAUCUCAUUAAUAAUCAAGUAUAUGGAUAUCUACAAUAUAGUGACAUUUAUAUUACAAAGAAGGAGAAACGGUUAUCUCAUUUAGAAAAGCAAUGAUAAUGAAUGUAUGCAUACAUUAUAAUAAUGACAUAAUUAAUUACUCAGAAGGAAGGAGUAGAAAAUACUAAUUGGAUCAAAGUAAUUAUUGUCUUGAUUUUAUUCCUGGGACAAAGCACUUUAUCAUCAUUUAUUCACUGAAACUUUGGACAGAUUUCAUUUUUGGCAGCAUACAAGGCUUACAACUUUGCCAUUCAAGUUGUUAUUUUGUUGCAUUGACAAGUGCUGGUAGCAGAAGAUUUAUGAAACAUAAACAACAACGGGGCUCCUUGCCUUAAAAGUGCCAUCGUCCCAAAUCAAAGAAAAAGAAACCAAGCCCACAUUAAUGCUUCCUUUAAUAUUAAGGGUAAAAGACAGCCUCUGACCCAAUGACGAGAAGGCCAAAACAUUUGGCAGUACUUGGACAUUUAACGAGGAUGGAUGUGCAGUUAUUGUGGCCCUAUAUUUGGAUGUAGCUGAUCCAACAUUUGUGACAGUUCUACCAAAAGUGACAUUGUUGUAGCUUGAGCCAUCGGUUGAUAGAGCAAAAGAUGGGAGAUUAAGGUUGAAAACAGACCCUUUAUUUGCUGAUGUGCAUGUGCUGUUAUCAUCUGUAAUUUUUUGCAGCGAUGAUGAAUUGUAACCUUGUCCACACAGAAAACUAAUAUAAUCAGAUUCACCAGCAUCGUAAACCAGUCCAGGAUUUACUGCCUUCAAAGGAUUUAUUUGCCCCGCACCGUAAGCAAAUUCAGCCUCUUCAUUAAGUGCAGAAUUCAUAGCAGUAGCUGCAAAUAAUGAACGAACAAAUUUGGUCCUUAACAUCUAUACUUUGCGAUUAAGUUGUACCACAAAACAAUUGAAGUUAAUCCAGUUUUUCUCUAAUAAAAAAUGUACUUUAAUCUGGUUUGUGCAUAAGGUUUUAGGUUAUCGUAUCUUCUCUCUAUGAUUAUACAUUUAAAAUUAAUUUCACACCCUCAUUUUUUUCCUACAUUAUCAAGUACAUUAUAUUGCAUAUAUACCAGUUGUCAUCAACGCGGAUUUGAUUGCAGCAGGAGACCAGUUGGGAUGAAAUGAUUUGACGUAAGCAGCUGCUGCAGUAACAUGAGGGCAUGCCAUUGAAGUUCCAGAUAUUAUAUUCAAAUUUGAUACUCUUCUGUCUCCUUUAAGUUCAGAAAUAGGAGAAAUCGGAGACCAUGCAGCCAGAAUUUCAACUCCUGGAGCUGCUAUAUCAGG